rnacentral:lncRNA from 1 species
GCGCUGGCGUCACAGAUUCGGGGCACCUGGAGGGAAUGCUGGGUUAGCAGAACCUUCGUGAAUCUGAUGACCAUUGGAGACUUAACAAAUCACCAUGCCUUUGAUGAUAAAGUGGGAGAAGGAAGUCUUUAACUGGCUUGCAGUUGCCGUCAUGAAGAUCUGUUAUUUACAGUCAAAGAAUCCCAAAGAGAACUGCUGUGAAAAAUAAGAGCAUCUUAAUUGACUGCCUCGAAGCUGUGCAUUUCAGACAUCACAGAGGCU